UUCCAGCCCUGGUAGGCGCCGCG
rnacentral:miRNA from 1 species